rnacentral:rRNA from 2 species
GCAUAUCAAUAAGCGGAGGAAAAGAAACCAACAGGGAUUGCCCUAGUAACGGCGAGUGAAGCGGCAACAGCUCAAAUUUGAAAUCUGGCUCUUUCAGAGUCCGAGUUGUAAUUUGCAGAGGGCGCUUUGGCUUUGGCAGCGGUCCAAGUUCCUUGGAACAGGACGUCACAGAGGGUGAGAAUCCCGUACGUGGUCGCUAGCUAUUGCCGUGUAAAGCCCCUUCGACGAGUCGAGUUGUUUGGGAAUGCAGCUCUAAAUGGGAGGUAAAUUUCUUCUAAAGCUAAAUAUUGGCCAGAGACCGAUAGCGCACAAGUAGAGUGAUCGAAAGAUGAAAAGCACUUUGGAAAGAGAGUCAAACAGCACGUGAAAUUGUUGAAAGGGAAGCGCUUGCAGCCAGACUUGCUUGCAGUUGCUCAUCCGGGCUUUUGCCCGGUGCACUCUUCUGUAGGCAGGCCAGCAUCAGUUUGGGCGGUGGGAUAAAGGUCUCUGUCACGUACCUCUCUUCGGGGAGGCCUUAUAGGGGAGACGACAUACCACCAGCCUAGACUGAGGUCCGCGCAUCUGCUAGGAUGCUGGCGUAAUGGCUGUAAGCGGCCCGUCUUGAAACACGGACCAAGGAGUCUAACAUCUAUGCG